rnacentral:rRNA from 1 species
GAGGUUAAGCGACUAAGCGUACACGGUGGAUGCCCUGGCAGUCAGAGGCGAUGAAGGACGUGCUAAUCUGCGAUAAGCGUCGGUAAGGUGAUAUGAACCGUUAUAACCGGCGAUUUCCGAAUGGGGAAACCCAGUGUGUUUCGACACACUAUCAUUAACUGAAUCCAUAGGUUAAUGAGGCGAACCGGGGGAACUGAAACAUCUAAGUACCCCGAGGAAAAGAAAUCAACCGAGAUUCCCCCAGUAGCGGCGAGCGAACGGGGAGCAGCCCAGAGCCUGAAUCAGUGUGUGUGUUAGUGGAAGCGUCUGGAAAGGCGCGCGAUACAGGGUGACAGCCCCGUACACAAAAAUGCACAUGCUGUGAGCUCGAUGAGUAGGGCGGGACACGUGGUAUCCUGUCUGAAUAUGGGGGGACCAUCCUCCAAGGCUAAAUACUCCUGACUGACCGAUAGUGAACCAGUACCGUGAGGGAAAGGCGAAAAGAACCCCGGCGAGGGGAGUGAAAAAGAACCUGAAACCGUGUACGUACAAGCAGUGGGAGCACGCUUAGCGUGUGACUGCGUACCUUUUGUAUAAUGGGUCAGCGACUUAUAUUCUGUAGCAAGGUUAACCGAAUAGGGGAGCCGAAGGGAAACCGAGUCUUAACUGGGCGUUAAGUUGCAGGGUAUAGACCCGAAACCCGGUGAUCUAGCCAUGGGCAGGUUGAAGGUUGGGUAACACUAACUGGAGGACCGAACCGACUAAUGUUGAAAAAUUAGCGGAUGACUUGUGGCUGGGGGUGAAAGGCCAAUCAAACCGGGAGAUAGCUGGUUCUCCCCGAAAGCUAUUUAGGUAGCGCCUCGUGAAUUCAUCUCCGGGGGUAGAGCACUGUUUCGGCAAGGGGGUCAUCCCGACUUACCAACCCGAUGCAAACUGCGAAUACCGGAGAAUGUUAUCACGGGAGACACACGGCGGGUGCUAACGUCCGUCGUGAAGAGGGAAACAACCCAGACCGCCAGCUAAGGUCCCAAAGUCAUGGUUAAGUGGGAAACGAUGUGGGAAGGCCCAGACAGCCAGGAUGUUGGCUUAGAAGCAGCCAUCAUUUAAAGAAAGCGUAAUAGCUCACUGGUCGAGUCGGCCUGCGCGGAAGAUGUAACGGGGCUAAACCAUGCACCGAAGCUGCGGCAGCGACGCUUAUGCGUUGUUGGGUAGGGGAGCGUUCUGUAAGCCUGCGAAGGUGUGCUGUGAGGCAUGCUGGAGGUAUCAGAAGUGCGAAUGCUGACAUAAGUAACGAUAAAGCGGGUGAAAAGCCCGCUCGCCGGAAGACCAAGGGUUCCUGUCCAACGUUAAUCGGGGCAGGGUGAGUCGACCCCUAAGGCGAGGCCGAAAGGCGUAGUCGAUGGGAAACAGGUUAAUAUUCCUGUACUUGGUGUUACUGCGAAGGGGGGACGGAGAAGGCUAUGUUGGCCGGGCGACGGUUGUCCCGGUUUAAGCGUGUAGGCUGGUUUUCCAGGCAAAUCCGGAAAAUCAAGGCUGAGGCGUGAUGACGAGGCACUACGGUGCUGAAGCAACAAAUGCCCUGCUUCCAGGAAAAGCCUCUAAGCAUCAGGUAACAUCAAAUCGUACCCAAACCGACACAGGUGGUCAGGUAGAGAAUACCAAGGCGCUUGAGAGAACUCGGGUGAAGGAACUAGGCAAAAUGGUGCCGUAACUUCGGGAGAAGGCACGCUGAUAUGUAGGUGAGGUCCCUCGCGGAUGGAGCUGAAAUCAGUCGAAGAUACCAGCUGGCUGCAACUGUUUAUUAAAAACACAGCACUGUGCAAACACGAAAGUGGACGUAUACGGUGUGACGCCUGCCCGGUGCCGGAAGGUUAAUUGAUGGGGUUAGCGCAAGCGAAGCUCUUGAUCGAAGCCCCGGUAAACGGCGGCCGUAACUAUAACGGUCCUAAGGUAGCGAAAUUCCUUGUCGGGUAAGUUCCGACCUGCACGAAUGGCGUAAUGAUGGCCAGGCUGUCUCCACCCGAGACUCAGUGAAAUUGAACUCGCUGUGAAGAUGCAGUGUACCCGCGGCAAGACGGAAAGACCCCGUGAACCUUUACUAUAGCUUGACACUGAACAUUGAGCCUUGAUGUGUAGGAUAGGUGGGAGGCUUUGAAGUGUGGACGCCAGUCUGCAUGGAGCCGACCUUGAAAUACCACCCUUUAAUGUUUGAUGUUCUAACGUUGACCCGUAAUCCGGGUUGCGGACAGUGUCUGGUGGGUAGUUUGACUGGGGCGGUCUCCUCCUAAAGAGUAACGGAGGAGCACGAAGGUUGGCUAAUCCUGGUCGGACAUCAGGAGGUUAGUGCAAUGGCAUAAGCCAGCUUGACUGCGAGCGUGACGGCGCGAGCAGGUGCGAAAGCAGGUCAUAGUGAUCCGGUGGUUCUGAAUGGAAGGGCCAUCGCUCAACGGAUAAAAGGUACUCCGGGGAUAACAGGCUGAUACCGCCCAAGAGUUCAUAUCGACGGCGGUGUUUGGCACCUCGAUGUCGGCUCAUCACAUCCUGGGGCUGAAGUAGGUCCCAAGGGUAUGGCUGUUCGCCAUUUAAAGUGGUACGCGAGCUGGGUUUAGAACGUCGUGAGACAGUUCGGUCCCUAUCUGCCGUGGGCGCUGGAGAACUGAGGGGGGCUGCUCCUAGUACGAGAGGACCGGAGUGGACGCAUCACUGGUGUUCGGGUUGUCAUGCCAAUGGCACUGCCCGGUAGCUAAAUGCGGAAGAGAUAAGUGCUGAAAGCAUCUAAGCACGAAACUUGCCCCGAGAUGAGUUCUCCCUGACCCUUUAAGGGUCCUGAAGGAACGUUGAAGACGACGACGUUGAUAGGCCGGGUGUGUAAGCGCAGCGAUGCGUUGAGCUAACCGGUACUAAUGAACCGUGAGGCUUAACCUUA